CAGUCGCCGCGGGAAUACGUAGGGUGCGAGCGUUAAUCGGAAUUACUGGGCGUAAAGCGUGCGCAGGCGGUUGUGUAAGACAGGUGUGAAAUCCCCGGGCUUAACCUGGGAACUGCGCUUGUGACUGCACAGCUAGAGUAUGGCAGAGGGGGGUGGAAUUCCACGUGUAGCAGUGAAAUGCGUAGAGAUGUGGAGGGACACCGAUGGCGAAGGCAGCCCCCUGGGCCAAUACUGACGCUCAUGCACGAAAGCGUGGGGAGCAAACAGGAUUAGAGACCCCAGUAGUCCCUGUCUCUUAUAA
rnacentral:rRNA from 1 species